GUAAUUGGUGUCAUGGGUCCCACCAGUAUUACUCUUCACUUUACCCUUUCUGCAGUCUUCUGGACUUCUCCGUUCUUCUUUCCUCACACAAGUUGCUCUCUUGAUUCACUGCAUUCAGGAUGCUCGUCCUAACCUGAAGCCACCCCCGCACCUGGUGCUUUGACGGGGUGACCAUCGACGGCGAUUGAGGGUUAGCAGGGCCCAAGGAUCUACUACACCAGAGUGUAGGCAAGAUCAUCGAUCUGGACGCUGCCGUUGAUGCUGUCGUCCGUGUCGUUGAUUUGGUCUUGGAUUUCAUCUCCCGCAGGCCUGCAACGGCAACAUUGUUCCAAAUUGAGCUGCAGGUGAUAUCAUAUUUGUGACAUGAAGAGUAAGAGAGCCACAUGUCAAUCUUAAGGAGGUGUUUUUUGGGAAUGUUUAUAUGUUCCAAUCAUGCUAUGUAUCUUCAUCUCCAGUUGGUUUGCUCCAAAUAGAAGCAUGGAUUACAUCACCUUACAUAGAGAGAAAACAUCAGCAAACUUUGGAAAGGGUAAAUUGAAGAAACUUUGGAAAGGGUAAAUUGUAGAAGUUGUAACCUAAAAUCUCGAGGACAACGAACCUAUGAGGUCGUGGGGAAGGUCUUAUAUGGAUGGUUAAGUUUCUCAUGUUUGCACGAUGGAAAAAAAAUUGGAUUCUGUGGACACAUAUUCUGUUUGGAGAGAUAUGAUAGUUUCGAUUUCGUUAGGCACAUUAGACCUUUUUUUUGGGAUGGCCUCAUCGCUGAUGGCAUGGUCCAUCCUGUAUGCGUGGAUGGCCCAAUUUGUAUGUUUUUUUCUUCUUAAUGAUGCGUGAUGCAUGUGUGUUUCUGAUCCCUCACGGGAUGGUCCGACCAUUGGGUUUGUGGUUGGGAUCGUGAAAAUCAAACGUGAAGCCGUCAUUGGACGCUAUGGACCCAGAUCAUUUACGAAGAUCGAAUGGUUGGACUUAUCUUUAUUCUGACCCACCUGGUUUACAAAUAUCUAAUGGUUGGAUUUUGUUGUCUCAUGACAUGGACCACGGCAUGGACCCACCUGGUUUACGAAGAUCUAAUGGUUAGACUUUGUUGUCUCACAGAAUUAAAGGCUGGAUCUUUCUAAUUAUUGUGGUAUUUACUAAGCUAAUUAUCUUUAUUCUGAUGACAUCGUCAAGUACUUUUUAUAUAUAAAUAAAUUUGACAGUUUCUUGAUGGACGCUGGAGCACCGGCCGAAGUGAUGUCUAUGGCUCUGGCCAAAACUGUCGAGGCUCAUGGUACGAAGAAGCGCAAGCACUCCACCGAGACUACCGCAGACAAGCUCAAAGCCAUCGCCCUGUCCAAGCCCCCCUCUCCGGGAUCCCUCAUUAAGCAAGUUGUAACGCCCCGA